rnacentral:rRNA from 1 species
UGUGAAUCAUCGAAUCUUUAGAACGCACAUUGCGCCCUAUGGUAUUCCAUAGGGCAUGCCUGUUUGAGCGUCAUUUCUCUCUCAAAUCUUCGGAUUUGGUUUUGAGUGAUACUCUUAGUCAGACUAAGCGUUUGCUUGAAAUGUAUUGGCAUGAGUGGUACUAGAUAGUGCUGAACUGUUUCAAUGUAUUAGGUUUAUCCAACUCGUUGACCAGUAUAGUAUUUGUUUAUUACACAGGCUCGGCCUUACAACAACAAACAAAGUUUGACCUCAAAUCAGGUAGGACUACCCGCUGAACUUAAGCUUAUCAAUAAGCGGAGGAAUCUGCUGAAAAACUAAGACAUCGUACCG